GCGGUCGCCUUCGCCGGGCUCCAGCUGCUGCCCGCCGCCCCGCUCCCCUCACACGCUCGCAGGCAGGGGCCGAGCGCGCUUCACCCGCAGCCUGUUGCCGGGACCUUGGCGGCGGCUGGUGCCCGGGGAUAGAUCAGCCUCCGGCGGGGGCGGCGUGGACUCUGCCUGCCCGGACGCACUCACACUCCAGGGCUUUGCAGAUGAACCUAUGACUGACUCAUAAUCUGAGAACUGCAGUGGCUUGUAAAAUAGGAAG